rnacentral:ncRNA from 1 species
AGGGCUCGGCGAGGAUCCGCGGCCGGGACGCUGAGAGUGCGGGACCAACCGCAGACCCUCGAACCUGAUCCGGGUGAUACCGGCGUAGGGAGUCGGGAAUCUCAGCUC